UACGUAGGGUGCGAGCGUUAAUCGGAAUUACUGGGCGUAAAGCGUGCGCAGGCGGUUAUUUAAGUCAGGUGUGAAAGCCCUGGGCUUAACCUAGGAAUUGCGCUUGAGACUGGAUAGCUUGGAGUGCGGCAGAGGGAGGUGGAAUUCCACGUGUAGCAGUGAAAUGCGUAGAGAUGUGGAGGAACACCGAUGGCGAAGGCAGCCUCCUGGGCCAGCACUGACGCUCAGGCGCGACAGCGUGGGGAGCAAACAGG
rnacentral:rRNA from 1 species